rnacentral:rRNA from 1 species
GGUACCGUCAUCCGCACCAGGUAUUAGCUGAUACGAUUUCUUCCCGGCCGAAAGAGCUUUACAACCCGAAGGCCUUCUUCACUCACGCGGCAGGGCUGGAUCAGGGUUGCCCCCAUUGUCCAAAAUUCCCCACUGCUGCCUCCCGUAAGAGUA